CUGACUUUUCGUUUCGCUGGACGUGGAUUAAUAAGUCCUUUGUUAGCGGCGUCAGGGAGUCCGACAAUCCCGUCAUUGAUCCGUGUAGUUGCCUUUGGGGAUACGUUUUCAGAGAGUUUGGCCGUCUGAUCUUGCUGUUGAGGUUGGGUGCACACUGUCACCGCUCCCUGAAAGAUUUCGAGAGAGCGUACGGUCACAGGGGCCGGGAGGCAAAGAUUUCCCUUAUUUUGAUUUCACAGUCUGUUUGAUUGUGUAAUUGUAGUUCUUUUCACCCUUGCCGCACGGCAGGUGUUCGCGAUAUCACUCUCGCAGUCGUUCCGGGUGCGCUUGCAUUCACCACCUGCUAUUGACUGUUUGAUUUAAAAAACCAAAAUUAGUUGAAAACGUAGCCUCUCAAGGCGCUAUACCCCAUCUAUCAUACUCUGUCUC
rnacentral:rRNA from 1 species